GUUUUUAAUUGGCGGGGAAAGUAGCAUGAUCACGAAUGUGGUUUUUCCAGGGAGGUGGUUUCAUGCCAUACGCUCAGUAUGUGGUGAUUUCUGCGAUUUCCACAAAUGGGGGGGACUCGACUGCAUGAUUUGUGGGAGUAGGGGAAUGUGUUCGCGCUUUCUUUAG